UCCCUGGUGGCUCAGACGGUAAGAGUGUCUGCUUGCAAUGCAGGAGACCUAAGGUCGAUCCCUUGGUCGGGAA
rnacentral:tRNA from 1 species